GAGUUUGAUCCUGGCUCAGGAUGAACGCUGGCGGCGUGCCUAACACAUGCAAGUCGAGCGAAGCACAUAUGCGGAGGCCUCCGGGCCAAAGGAUGUGUGACUGAGCGGCGGACGGGUGAGUAACGCGUGGGUAACCUGCCCUAUACAGGGGGAUAACAGCUAGAAAUGGCUGCUAAUACCGCAUAAGCGCACGGGGCUGCAUGGCCCAGUGUGAAAAACUCCGGUGGUAUAAGAUGGACCCGCGUCUGAUUAGCUUGUUGGCGGGGUAACGGCCCACCAAGGCGACGAUCAGUAGCCGGCCUGAGAGGGUGGACGGCCACAUUGGGACUGAGACACGGCCCAAACUCCUACGGGAGGCAGCAGUGGGGAAUAUUGGACAAUGGGGGGAACCCUGAUCCAGCGACGCCGCGUGAGUGAAGAAGUAUUUCGGUAUGUAAAGCUCUAUCAGCAGGGAAGAAAGAAAUGACGGUACCUGACUAAGAAGCCCCGGCUAACUACGUGCCAGCAGCCGCGGUAAUACGUAGGGGGCAAGCGUUAUCCGGAUUUACUGGGUGUAAAGGGAGCGUAGACGGUUGUGCAAGUCUGAAGUGAAAGGCGGGGGCCCAACCCCCGGACUGCUUUGGAAACUGUAUAACUGGAGUGCANGAGAGGUAAGUGGAAUUCCUAGUGUAGCGGUGAAAUGCGUANAUAUUAGGAGGAACACCAGUGGCGGAGGCGGCUUACUGGACUGNUACUGACGUUGAGGCUCGAANGCGUGGGGAGCAAACA
rnacentral:rRNA from 1 species